CUGGAGGCAGUGUAGCAGGGGAAGCCAGAAAGGGGUGGAAAGCUGCAGAGCCAGAAUGCUCACACAACUGAUUCCAGCCUGACCUGAGGAGGGUUGGGAGUGGGGAAGAAUAGGCUCCCAUCAACACCCCCUCUCCCAGGUUUCUAAUGUAAGGGGAGGAGUCAAAUGAAGUCCUUUGAGGGGAGAAGAUUGGGAAGAUCUGGCGGUGAAGAUAGGUGUCAAAAUAACAUGAUGAAGUAAUGACAAGAUGUGUGGUUCCACAUCAUCAGAAGGAAAGUCUGCAGGCACAUUUUAAGAAACCCACUCAGUGGACGAAGCUGAUGAAUGACACCAACAAUCUUAGUCACUGGAGAUAAUUUGGACCUUCAGCAACAGAGGGAAUAGAGGAAAGGUGUAAAGAAGGCCAUUGCCCCAAGGAAGAAGAAGAGCAUCUCUCCUGGAGUGUUAUUUUAUCCCUACUCUGGAGUAAUACUGCAAACAUCUCUUGUUCUAGUAGAAUGCCAGAGCUCAUCUGAUGUCCAGAGAGUGAAGUCUUUUCUCCUCAUUAGAAGCAUGAAGUUUUGGGAAGCAUACAGGACAGGUUGAUUUAUGUGAAACACAGAAAUUACUUUAGGAAUUAAUUUCGGGUGAAGAAGUAUUAAAAAUAGUGUAUGGCGGGUCAGGUGCUCCCAGUUCACUCAUCCUUCUGGCUGAUGUGAUGGCAACUCAAAAUGCAAUCUUCAUGGAAAGAUUCCAAAGGCUGCCAGAAGAUGGACCAAAAAGAGUUACCAGCUGGACCUCCUGACUGGAGUCACCCACUUAGACAUCUACAGACACAGGAUUCCAACUCAGGCCAUGCAGCAACAAGAAGGAACUGGAGAGGGGUUGAUCCAUAUUGCUCCCUAUGCCCUUGGUUUGGCAUAUGAGGGAAACAACUGUUUGGGCACAGACCAAUGGACACUAGUUGCUAGAAAUCUUUGAUCUCAGGUGCAUGGUGCACAUGCAUAUCCAUGUGUGAAAUACACAAAGGGACCAGCACUCAAAGAACAACUGGUCCAUAAGACUUCCGUUCAUUUUAAAAAGCAAAACAUUUGCUAUAGGCUUUUGUAGCUUGCUCCUUUAGUUCAUUCAACCAAAGAAGGGUCUACAACACCAAUUAACAGCUACAUCCUCACCUAAAUUUUAUUGCA